rnacentral:lncRNA from 1 species
AAAAAAAAAAAAAAACUAAAAUCAUAAACAUCACACACACAUAUAUAAAGACAUUUCAUAAAAUUUCCUCUAUUGCUUUUCUUUUAUGCGCUGGCAAAAUCCCCAAAUCAAACACUUUGUCAGCCUAGGGCAUCUAUGACUCCUUCAUUAUGGAAAAAGGGGGAAAAAAAAGAAAAAGACAAAGGUUUACUGAAUACUUACCUCAGCAAUUUCGAUUUUGAAUUUCUGGCAAUUUCUCGGCAUUCGGAGCUCAUGACUCCUUGGCAAUUUUUCAUCUUGUUCAGCAAAAUAAAAUAAAAUCAAAAUCGAUGAAUAUCUACGAUAAUGAUUCGUUCCUUCUUAUGUAAUAUUUGUUUGCCACUUACUCUGAGUCCUUACUGUAAUAGGAUAUUUUGUUGUUUUUAAGUGUGAAGGAAUACGGUUGCAAGUUUCAUAACUGGUUGAAAAAAUAAAAUAAUAAAAGAGUAGUGUUGUAAG